AAAUUGAAGAGUUUGAUCAUGGCUCAGAUUGAACGCUGGCGGCAGGCCUAACACAUGCAAGUCGAACGGUAACAGGAAGCAGCUUGCUGCUUCGCUGACGAGUGGCGGACGGGUGAGUAAUGUCUGGGAAACUGCCUGGUGGAGGGGGGAUAACUACUGGAAACGGUAGCUAAUACCGCAUAAUGUCGCAAGACCAAAGAGGGGGACC
rnacentral:rRNA from 1 species